CAGUCGAACGAAACUUCUUUAUCACCGAGUGCUUGCACUCACCGAUAAAGAGUUGAGUGGCGAACGGGUGAGUAACACGUGGGCAACCUGCCCAAAAGAGGGGGAUAACACUUGGAAACAGGUGCUAAUACCGCAUAACCAUAGUUACCGCAUGGUAACUAUGUAAAAGGUGGCUAUACUACCGCUUUUGGAUGGGCCCGCGGCGCAUUAGCUAGUUGGUAGGGUAAAGGCUUACCAAGGCAAUGAUGCGUAGCCGAAUUGAGAGGUUGAUCGGCCACAUUGGGACUGAGACACGGCCCAAACUCCUACGGGAGGCAGCAGUAGGGAAUCUUCCACAAUGGGCGAAAGCCUGAUGGAGCAACGCCGCGUGGGUGAAGAAGGUCUUCGGAUCGUAAAACCCUGUUGUUAGAGAAGAAAGUGCGUGAGAGUAACUGUUCACGUUUCGACGGUAUCUAACCAGAAAGCCACGGCUAACUACGUGCCAGCAGCCGCGGUAAUACGUAGGUGGCAAGCGUUAUCCGGAUUUAUUGGGCGUAAAGGGAACGCAGGCGGUCUUUUAAGUCUGAUGUGAAAGCCUUCGGCUUAACCGGAGUAGUGCAUUGGAAACUGGGAGACUUGAGUGCAGAAGAGGAGAGUGGAACUCCAUGUGUAGCGGUGAAAUGCGUAGAUAUAUGGAAGAACACCAGUGGCGAAAGCGGCUCUCUGGUCUGUAACUGACGCUGAGGUCCGAAAGCGUGGGUAGCAAACAGGA
rnacentral:rRNA from 1 species